UGUUGGUCGCUUCGCGGCGAUAUGUUGUGAACCCCGCCAGGUCCGGAAGGAAGCAACGGUAGCGACAGAUUCGGGCGCCGAAGUUUGGCUGACACUG
rnacentral:SRP_RNA from 1 species